GCGAACGUGGUGGAAUUGGUAGACACGCCAUCUUGAGGGGGUGGUGCCUACGGCGUGAGGGUUCAAGUCCCUCCGUUCGCACCA
rnacentral:tRNA from 1 species